rnacentral:rRNA from 1 species
AACGGCAGCACAGUAAGAGCUUGCUCUUAUGGGUGGCGAGUGGCGGACGGGUGAGGAAUACAUCGGAAUCUACUUUUUCGUGGGGGAUAACGUAGGGAAACUUACGCUAAUACCGCAUACGACCUACGGGUGAAAGCAGGGGAUCUUCGGACCUUGCGCGAUUGAAUGAGCCGAUGUCGGAUUAGCUAGUUGGCGGGGUAAAGGCCCACCAAGGCGACNAUCCGUAGCUGGUCUGAGAGGAUGAUCAGCCACACUGGAACUGAGACACGGUCCAGACUCCUACGGGAGGCAGCAGUGGGGAAUAUUGGACAAUGGGCGCAAGCCUGAUCCAGCCAUACCGCGUGGGUGAAGAAGGCCUUCGGGUUGUAAAGCCCUUUUGUUGGGAAAGAAAUCCAGCCGGCUAAUACCUGGUUGGGAUGACGGUACCCAAAGAAUAANCACCGGCUAACUUCNUGCCANCAGCCGCGGNAAUACGAAGGGUGCAAGCGUUACUCGGAAUUACUGGGCGUAAAGCGUGCGUAGGUGGUUGUUUAAGUCUGUUGUGAAAGCCCUGGGCUCAACCUGGGAACUGCAGUGGAAACUGGACAACUAGAGUGUGGUUAGAGGGUAGCGGAAUUCCCGGUGUAGCAGUGAAAUGCGUAKAGAUCGGGAGGAACAUCCAUGGCGAAGGCACCUACCUGGACCAACACUGACACUGAGGCACVAA